rnacentral:lncRNA from 1 species
CUGCAUGCUCAGUAGUAUGUCGAGCUUUUAGGAGUAUGGUUUUACUUUAAAAUUUAAGUACUUGCAAGAUUUUUAAAAAAUGUUUCAUGUUUACAUAGUUUUCAGUUCUUAACGUUUUUGAUAAUGUUUCUUAAUAUCUCCAACUAGGUCACGUUUGUAUAACAAAAGUAAGAUUGUCAUUCUUAUUAAGUAGCUAAAACUCCACUGUUAAUUAGUACAUGAAGAACAUACCUGUUUAUUUUUGUUGCUCUCUAAUUAGAUGAUACUUGAUUUAAUUUGACCAGUGGCCUAAUUAUCAUGAAAUUCUUAAUAUUUGUACAAUUGCAGGCCCCUAGCAGUCUUCUUGAUGCUUUGGAACAACAUUUAGCUUCCUUGGAAGGAAAGAAAAUCAAAGAUUCUACAGCUGCAAGCAGGGCAACUACACUUUCCAAUGCAGUGUCUUCCCUGGCAAGCACUGGUCUAUCUCUGACCAAAGUGGAUGAAAGGGAAAAGCAGGCAGCAUUAGAGGAAGAACAGGCACGUUUGAAAGCUUUAAAGGUAA